AGCUCGACCGGGUCGAUGGCGCGGGUGGUGAGGAGGUAGUCGCGGAUCGCGAUGGAGUGCCGGUUCUC
rfam:Segniliparus rugosus ATCC BAA-974 genomic scaffold acqcO-supercont2.1, whole genome shotgun sequence.